CGGUGAUUAGAUGAUUUAUCCACGCUUGUGAGAGUAAUCUAUUAAGCAUAUGUUUUUAAAAAAUGGUUGAAUUUCUUAAUAUGAGCCU
rnacentral:snoRNA from 2 species